CGGGUCGGAAGGGAGGGGCCCGUGCGUUCUUCGUCGGGAAAGGAAGCGGCCACAGGAAGUCCAUGAUCCACCCGGCGGCCCAGCCCUACCCCGCGCGGCCCUACUACGACACCAAGCCCUCCCUCCCGCCGCCCCAGCCCAAUCCCUUCUCCCCCUCGCCGGCGGCCGCUGUCAUGCACCCACCUCCGGCCCCCAUCGUCAUCGAGUCCUCCGCCUUCCCACAGCCCUACUACCUCCACCCCCCUGCCCCGCCUGCGGCUGUGCCCGUGAUCCACCCCAACGCCGAGCAGCAGAAGAUCAAUACUCUCUUCGUCUCCGGGCUCCCCGACGACGUCAAGCCUCGAGAGAUCCACAACCUCUUCCGCCGCCGCCACGGCUUCGAUUCUUGCCAGCUCAAGUACACCGGCCGCGGUGACCAGGUUGUCGCCUUUGCCACAUUUUUUAAUCAUCAAUCAGCAAUGGCAGCAAUGAACGCAUUAAACGGAGUGGUUUUUGAUCCUGAGACGGGAGCUACUCUGCAUAUAGAGCUGGCCAGAUCAAAUUCUCGGAAGCGUCCACGAGGGGGUGGAGCCUAUGCAGUAAUUGAUAAACGAGUUAAAAUAACAGAUGAUGACCAAGAUUUAUGGAGUAAUGAUGGUGACGGUGGAUCUGAUGAACCAUUGGGCACAGAAAAUGAUAAUUCCAGCAACAAGGGUGCUUUAGCUGCUGCACAGAGUGGUGGGGUCGCGGAUAAGCUAGAGAAUGAUCAAGCUGCUUCAAAUGAGCCAGAAAAGCCAACAUCAGGGGACAUUCCACCUUGUUCUACAUUAUUUAUUGCAAAUUUGGGUCCUACUUGCACUGAAGAAGAACUAAAGCAAGUUCUGUCUGAAUACCCUGGCUUUCAUACAAUUAAAAUGCGAGGGAGAGGUGGAAUGCCCGUUGCUUUUGCUGAUUUUGCGAAUUUCCACUUCAUGAAACUUUUUUGACUGCGGGGGAUCCUGUGCAUGUGCAGGAUGUGGAAUCCUCAACUGCAGCCAUGAAUACUCUUCAAGACUCUUUGCUGGCGUCUUCUGAUCGUGGUGGCAUGCAUGUGGAAUACGCGAGGUCCAAAAUGAGGAAAAGCUAGCUUUACGAAAGGGCCAUGCUGCAAAGCCUGCAUUCUCAAAUUUGGACAUUAAGAGUUCAGAUCAAGUGAUCCUUAAAAUGUAGAUGUGGAUAUAUGCUAUGCUUGACAUUGGCUUGCUACAGUGAGAGAUCAUCCUGUCUGAUUUUGGCUAUCUUUUGUAACCAUUCAAUAUUUUGCUAACCUUCUUUGUGUAAAUUAAGCAGUUCAUGAUUAUUAUUCAAGGGUUGUUAGGGUUUAUCAUUCAAGGGUGAUUGUAUGCUAGUAUGAUACCAUUUUUUUUUUAAGUACGAUACCAGCUUUUGAACGUCUUCCCACGCACUCUUCCAAAUUUAUUAUUUUAUAGAUUAUAUUAAAGUCGUGGAAGUAGGAAUUGGUAAGUGGCAGAUAUUGCCGUUAAAAAGUCUCAUUCUAAAGGUUUGGUUGGUUUAUCACAUUUUAAUGCUGUUUCAAGCAGUGGCAGGCUGUCGUCAUCUCAA